AUUCAGCUGACGAGUCCCAAAUAGAGCGAAACGUGAUUCCUGGUU
rnacentral:hammerhead_ribozyme from 1 species